rnacentral:rRNA from 1 species
UACGUAGGGUGCAAGCGUUGUCCGGAAUUAUUGGGCGUAAAGAGCUCGUAGGCGGUUUGUCGCGUCUGCUGUGAAAACCCGAGGCUCAACCUCGGGCCUGCAGUGGGUACGGGCAGACUAGAGUACUGCAGGGGAGACUGGAAUUCCUGGUGUAGCGGUGAAAUGCGCAGAUAUCAGGAGGAACACCGGUGGCGAAGGCGGGUCUCUGGGCAGUAACUGACGCUGAGGAGCGAAAGCGUGGGGAGCGAACAGG